GCAGGUCUUUGGCUUUGAAGUGAUUUCCACUCUUUCAGUCUCUUUGCUCACAUGGAAUGACAAGUUUUGUUAUUACGUGUGUAAGAAAUUAUUUCACGUGCUUAAAUGUUUUAAUGUCACUGAUGCCUGAAAAAAAGAAACCACCCAGGGACUGUUAAUGUUGGCUGUAUUCUCUUUUGGUAUUCAAAGCGAAGAGGGUUUUGAAUUCAGCUGAAUGGGAACUUCCAUUAACACAAAAUGAAUGCGUUACAGUACUUAUUUGUUUAAGCACCCUGUACUUGCUUCUAAAAGUCCCUACUUCAUGUCUUGGACAAGUGGCUGCUCCACAGAGGUUUCUGUGAAGAUAUCAUAUCAGUCUUCAAGUGUUCAGCAAGAAGCUGGGAGAUUGACAGGUCUCUGGCUGAGAUAUAACCUAUGCCAGAAUUUCCUCUGUGGGAACUGCAGAUACAAUGAUUUCAAUGUACUGUAGGUGACAGCCUCAAAUUAAACCAUACAAAGGAAUUAGUCAAACCCAAACUCUGUGUCUCCCUGAAUUUGUUGAUCCAGGCUGGUCCAAUUUUGAACAGUUUUCUUAGAUAGUAGCAAUGUUUAUUCUCAGUACCUGCUAUUCAUUUAUUCCUAUUAGGACAACGCAGGUUUUUGGAGCUAAAAUGUAGUAAUGUGACAGAAGCCAAUUACCCGCUGCAUGCUUGGCUACAUGGGUAUGGGGGAACAAUAUAUACCACCUGUCUUAGCAGUGAUUCCAUCCACCAAUUUCUCCAUUGAGGGAAAGGUUAUAAAAGGUCCAACAGAUAUCUCUGUUCACUGAGACCUAUUUUAAAGUGAUUUAAUUACCAGUAGCCAACUGGGAGUGCAGUUAGUUGUGGUGUUGGGUUUUUUAUUAUUAUUUUUAUUGUCUUAGAACCUGUUGCUUUAUUUUGUCUGUGACUUUCAUUUUUAGAUAGCUUAUUAUCCAGCUUUUUUUUUUUUUCCCACGUUAUAGUUAAACAUUUAUAAGCAAUGGAAGAUCUUGAACAGAGAAAGAUAUAUACAGAAUAAAAGUAGUUACAUUAGUGUGUGAAAAGUGGGU
rnacentral:lncRNA from 1 species